AUUGAACGCUGGCGGCAGGCCUAACACAUGCAAGUCGAACGAGUGGCGGACGGGUGAGUAGUGUCUGGGAAACUGCCCGAUAGAGGGGGAUAACUACUGGAAACGGUAGCUAAUACCGCAUACCAUCGGAUGUGCCCAUAUGGGAUUAGCGAGUAGGUGGGGUAACGGCUCACCUAGGCGACGAUCCCUAGCUGGUCUGAGAGGAUGACCAGCCACACUGGGACUGAGACACGGUCCAGACGCCUACGUGAGUCAGCAGUGGGGAAUAUUGCACAAUGGGAGCAAGCCUGAUGCAGCCAUGCCGGGUGUAUGAAGAAGGCCCUCGGUUUGUAAAGUACUUUCAGCGAGGAGGCGUUACUCGCAGAAGAAGCACCGGCUAACUCCGUGCCAGCAGACGCGGUAAUAC
rnacentral:rRNA from 1 species